AUUUCUUCUGAGAUAUUGUUCAUCUAUUACUUGUUUAAUUAAAAACAUUAUAGAAACUGUCUCCAAAACCAGAUAAACAUCCAAUACUAGGCAUUUGGUCCUUAACAUUCACAAUCUUGUUUGAAUAGUCAGAAUAAAUGACACAGCAUUUAGACCCAACAAAACAAUAAAACUGUACAAUAAAUGGCAGGAACUUGGAAAUUUUAAACUCUAAAAGGAAUAGGUCAGGAGUUCCCGUCAUGGCUCAGAGGAAAUGAAUCUGACAAGCAUUCAUGAGGACGCAGGUUUGAUCCCUGGCCUUGCUCAGUGGGUUGAGGAUCCAGCGUUACCAUGAGCUUCAGUGUAGGUCACAGACAUGGCUCGGAUUCUGAGUUGCAGUGGCUGUGGCAUAGCAUAGCAGCUACAGCUUCGAUUCAACCCCUAGCCUGGGAACCUCCAUAUGUCGCAGAUACUAUAAAAACUGCUUUCAAACAGUCUGUAACUCAUUUAUUAUAAAUGUGAUUUGCAGAUUAACAGUUCACAAUAUCCUCAAACUACAAACUACUAGCUCCAAAAUAAUCACCUUAUAAAAAUGAGCACCUCCUUUUUCUUCCCUAAAGAAAAGUUCUGCUACACAUAUAUACCAUUUCCUUUCCUCCGAACAGUUCAAUUUGCUGGCAAUUUAAGCAGUAGUUCAACUGUAGCACUGAACUUUAAGAACAUAAAGCGUUCUUGCUCUCUCAAAUAAAAUUUUCAAUAUUUUCCCAGAAAUGAUACCUAAAGACCAGAAAUUGAAAUAUCACCAUGACAGUCAAUCUGCUCUAGUGACAACAUAAUUGUUAAGAAUAUGAAAAGUACCUACGUAACUAAAAUCAUGUUCCUUUUCCUCUGCUUCUUUAAAAACUCAACACAAAGUUGAGCUCAUGGCUCAACUACAUUCCCAAAUCAGUUAAGAACAUAUUUUUUCAUUUUUCACAGGUUAUUAUUCACUUGAAAUUCAUCAGUCAGACACUGACAUCAAAGAACCAACACAUAACACAGAGCAUACUGUAAAACACAUGAGCUACAAUUUGGUAUAUAUUAAAUAUUCCAGUUUACUGUUCUAGCUUUUGCUGAUUUGGACUGGAAUUUUUAAGGGCCUAAUAAAAAAUUAUUCAGAACUAAAUUACAACAAGCAGUUAUGAAAUGAACUUCUUCCUUGAACCAAUUAUUAUUAGUACCUCCUAAGCUAAGAAUGAGCAGAUUUAAGAUACAAAAGCAGAGUCAAAGAAACAGAUUAAAGCAGAACUAAAGGAAAGGACAAGAUUUCAAUUCUCUUUCCCAAAAAAAUGCCUGAGCAUAGUACCAAACAGUAACAUUCAGAAUGGAAAUAAGCAGAGGAUUUUGCAUAAUAGAAUUGCUUAAAAAUGCCUAUCUAGCCAUCAGGGUGAAAAGAUCAACAAGAGAAAAGAAGGAACAAAGUCCCUCUUCCUUGCCUUUAACUGAGGCCAAAUCAUUUCCUUUAAUCAAUGUAUCACUCAUUUUUCAUUUGGCCAAGUGGUCUACAUCGCCACCACAUUAUUUUUUACUAAUAUGUACUCCAUCUCUUCACAUCAAAAUUUUAAUAUUUACUGUCAUGUGGAGAAAAAAAAACAAAAAAACAAGUGUAACUUGGUUAUCUUGUUUACCAAACAUUCAAAGAUACUCAAAGGUUUGGGGUGAGGUGGGGGAAUAUAAU
ensembl:lncRNA